rnacentral:rRNA from 1 species
AUGCAAUCAAAAGAUCCUGACUUUUUCCAUCUUAUGGAUGUGGAUAAGGAUGGAAGACUGAGAAAUGUCUUUUGGGCAGAUGCAAGAAGUAGGGCAGCAUAUGAAUCUUAUUGUGAUGUCAUCACAUUUGACACUACAUACUUAACAAACAAGUAUAGCAUGCCAUUUGCUCCCUUUGUUGGCGUAAAUCAUCAUGGAGAAUCAGUUCUGUUAGGUUGUGGCCUUCUAUCCAACGAAGACACCGACACUUUUGCGUGGUUAUUUAAAUCUUGGCUAUGUUGUAUGUCGAACAAACCACCAAAUGCUAUAAUCACUGACCAGUGCAAAGCAAUGCAGAAUGCUAUUGAAGAAGUUUUUCCUCAAGCUCGUCACAGAUGGUGGGUACCAGCAUAUGUAAAAGAUACUUUUUGGGCAGGGAUGUCUUCAACACAAAGGAGUGAGAGUGUGAAUGCUUUCUUUGAUGGGUAUGUUCACGCUAGAACAACUCUAAAGCAAUUUGUGGAGCAGUAUGAAAAUGCAUUAAGAGACAAGGUAGAGAAAGAAACCAAGGCUGAUUCUAAGUCGUUCCAAGAGGAAAUUCCAUGCAUUACUCAUUUUGACUUCGAAAAGCAAUUUCAAGCAGCAUAUACCAAUGCAAAGUUUCAAGAGUUUCAAGAGCAAUUAAGAGGGAAAAUCUAUUGCUAUCCAUCUCUGCAAAACAAUGAAGGGCCACUUCUUACAUUUAGAGUUAGAGAGGACCGCAAGAUUUUUUUUGAAGGAGAGGAUGGCAGCAUUAAAGAGAAAUGGAUUAUUUCAGAUUUCACUGUCUUGUUCAAGCAAGAGGAAUGUGAUGUGCGGUGUAUUUGUAGGCUUUUUGAAUUUCGAGGCAUCUUGUGUAGCCACAUCAUUACCGUGCUUGCUCUCAUGGGGAUCAAAGAUGUACCUUCUAGGUAUAUAUUGCAGCGAUGGAGAAAUGAUUUUAAGCGCAAACACGUAUUUAUUAAAUGCUCCUACGAUGAUAUGUUGAAUACACCAGUUGUGCAGCGUUAUGAUGAAUUAUGCAAGCGUUCUCAUGAAGUGGCAGAGAAAGGUGCAGAGCCCGAUGAAUUGCGCGACUUGGUGAUGGAUGGGCUUGAUCAGUUAGAAAGAAAGGUUGAUGCAUACCGUGCUAGCCAUGCUGUUCAAGUACAGGCAGAAAAUCCAACAUCAAAGCAUGAAGAUACAAUGUUAAACAAAGAAAAACUUGGUACUCAGUCCAAUCCCUGUUCGCAGUGCAGGCCGUCCUCGUUCAAAGAGAAAGAUAUCUAA